rnacentral:rRNA from 1 species
UAAGACGAACUGUCCUAACGUUGUUCGGAAUCACUGGGCUUAAAGGGCGCGUAGGCGGUCCGACAAGUCGGGGGUGAAAUCCUGCAGCUUAACUGCAGAAGUGCCUUCGAUACUGUCGGUCUUGAGGGAGAUAGGGGUGUGCGGAACUUCCAGUGGAGCGGUGAAAUGCGUUGAUAUUGGAAGGAACGCCGGAGGCGAAAGCGGCGCACUGGAUCUCUACUGACGCUGAGGCGCGAAAGCCAGGGGAGCAAACGGGAUUAGAUACCCCGGUAGUCCUGGCCCUAAACGAUGAGUACUAGAUUGUAGACUUAUCAUGGGUUUACAGUCGAAGCAAAAGUGUUAAGUACUCCGCCUGGGGAGUAUGGUCGCAAGGCUG